AUAUGCAAUCAAAUAAAAUUGGAAUUGGAAUGAUAUGGAGAAGAUUAACAAUGCCCUUGCACAAAGAUGAUGCGCACGAACCAAUAAAUAAUCCAAAAAUAC